CCCACAAAGUCGGAUCCCAGAUUGGCAAGGGGAGAGCAGAGCUGGAUCCGCACCUCUUAUUGUAGAGGAACAAAUGCGGAUGGACCAAGUGGAUCCAGCAAGUAGUGGCAAAAGAUCAAGGUUAUUUAGAAUUGAGAGGUGUUGUUUUAGGCACUGGAAGUACCGUUGUGAACAAAAUAGACACCAGGGGAGACAGACAAAAAACGAGAUGAGACAGAAGAGAAGAAACAGAGAAGACCACAUGACCAGGGAGGCAGAGCCACCAGAAUCUGGGAGAGGCAGGAAUCCCCCCCAGAGUCUCAGGAGAGGACAUGACCCCACCAACACCUUGAUUUUGGACAUCCCACCUCCAGUACCAUGAGAAU